GCUUGUAUGAACGUACUAAGCAUCUGAGGUUCUAAGGAGGUUGCCUCCUCGAGAUCACUUGACCUCUUCUCUUUUCAUCGUGCUCUUUUGCACUUGAACCAUAUUAGAAACUUAUCAUGGUUUGUUGUAAGUUUGAGAUCACUGCUGGUUGCAAUAUUGUGGCGCAGUUUCCAGAAGAACUUGUCCAGAAUCCCGAUUAUGGCAGCAGUUUCAUCAUCCCAAAAGGGUUGCACAGGCACAAUUGGGAAAAACUCCAAACCCAUGAAGGCAUGGGAUUGCAAAAGACAUGAAGAGAGCUUUCUCCUCCACGAAUGCCCACUGAGUUGAUAGUGACCUACUUCAUGAAGUGUACUCUUAAACCAUCAGGUCAUUAUGAUUGGAAUCUGUCGACUCCUUCAAGGGAACCACAUGAAGUUGUAUUAUAUAUCUUCAUUUUUUCAUUUUGACUCUUGGGAUCGAUCCAACCGCUUGUUACAUUUUUAUGUCAUAGGAUCUUAUUGAAGUUCUAUGUAAGAGCAGAUGUAUGUCUUAUUUUGCUGGGGACAAGGAAACAAUACGAUUAGUAGGAAGUUAAAUGUUGGUUUUAGAAUCACAUUGAAGUUAGAGAAUUUUAAAAAAAGGAUUAGUAAAUGGCUUUGAAAAAGUAAAUCUCCAAUCAUUUCAGUAGAAAAUGUAAGGAAAUAACGAUUGAAAAUGACAAACACAUUUUAUGUACAAUGAUUUUUUUGGUUGAAUAUUUUCAGAAGUGCUCUUGGAAUGGCAAUCCAAGAGCUGGUUCUCGGGACUAUCCCUUUCCAUUAAA